rnacentral:rRNA from 1 species
GACGAACGCUGGCGGCGUGCUUAACACAUGCAAGUCGAACGGAAAGGCCCUGCUUUUGUGGGGUGCUCGAGUGGCGAACGGGUGAGUAACACGUGAGUAACCUGCCCUUGACUUUGGGAUAACUUCAGGAAACUGGGGCUAAUCCCGGAUAGGAGCUCCUGCUGCAUGGUGGGGGUUGGAAAGUUUCGGCGGGUGGGGCUGGAUGCGCGGCUUAUCAGCUUGUUGGUGGGGUAGUGGCUUACCAAGGCUUUGACCGGUAGCCGGCCUAGGAGGGUGACCGGCCACCUUGGGCCUGCGAUACGGACCAGACUCCUACGGGAGGCAGCAGUGGGGAAUAUUGCACAAUGGGCGGAAGCCUGAUGCAGCGACGCCGCGUGUGUGAUGACGGCCUUCGGGUUGUAAACCGCUUUCGCCUGUGACGAAGCGGGAGUGACGGUAAUGGGUAAAGAAGCACCGGCUAACUACGUG